rnacentral:tRNA from 1 species
AGCUUCGGGGUGUUACACGUAGGAUUGCAAACCCUAAGACGCAGAAGAAAUUUUGCCGGGGCUU